CACAGAGGAAGUACAUGCAAAGAUCUCACUUCAGGUUAAUUUCGCGUAAGGGAUUUUUUCAGUCCGCCAUGUUCUUAGCAAGUGCCCCAAAGAGAGGCAGUCACCCCCCUGAAAACAUAUUGAAAAUUAAUAUUCCAGGGGAGUGAAUGCCUCUCUUUAGGGCACUUGCUAAGAACAUGGCCGCCAGCUAUUUCGGUAAGAAAUCGCCUUACGGUUUUGUAAUGGAAGUUACACUUCUGUAUGUCUUUCUUCUGU
rnacentral:lncRNA from 1 species